rnacentral:rRNA from 1 species
GAUGAACGCUAGCGGCAGGCCUAAUACAUGCAAGUCGAGGGGUAUGGGUUGCUUGCCACCCAGAGACCGGCGCACGGGUGUGUAACGCGUAUGCAAUCUACCUUAAUCAGGGGGAUAGCCCGGAGAAAUCCGGAUUAACACCGCAUAACAUUGAGUUGUGGCAUCACAGUUCAAUCAAAUAUUUAUAGGAUUAAGAUGAGCAUGCGUGACAUUAGUUAGUUGGUGAGGUAACGGCUCACCAAGACCACGAUGUCUAGGGGAUCUGAGAGGAUGACCCCCCACACUGGUACUGAGACACGGACCAGACUCCUACGGGAGGCAGCAGUAAGGAAUAUUGGUCAAUGGGCGCAAGCCUGAACCAGCCAUGCCGCGUGCAGGAAGACGGCCCUAUGGGUUGUAAACUGCUUUUGUACCGGAAUAAACCUUCUCUUGCGAGAGAAGCUGAACGUACGGUAAGAAUAAGGAUCGGCUAACUCCGUG